UACGUAGGGUGCGAGCGUUGUCCGGAAUUAUUGGGCGUAAAGAGCUUGUAGGCGGUUUGUCGCGUCUGCUGUGAAAAUCCGGGGCUCAACCCCGGACUGCAGUGGGUACGGGCAGACUAGAGUGUGGUAGGGGAGACUGGAAUUCCUGGUGUAGCGGUGAAAUGCGCAGAUAUCAGGGGGAACACCGAUGGCGAAGGCAGGUCUCUGGGCCACUACUGACGCUGAGAAGCGAAAGCAUGGGGAGCGAACAGG
rnacentral:rRNA from 1 species